rnacentral:rRNA from 1 species
GACGAACGCUGGCGGCGUGGAUUAGGCAUGCAAGUCGAACGGUAGGAUCCUUUCGGGGAUCUGAGAGUGGCGAACGGGUGAGUAACACGUAGGUGAUCUACCCUCAAGACGGGGACAACCCAGGGAAACUUGGGCUAAUACCGGAUGUGAGCUAUCGUGAGAUAGUUUGAAAGGUGGCUUCGGCUGCCGCUUGAGGAUGAGCCUGCGUCCUAUUAGCUAGUUGGUGAGGUAACGGCUCACCGAGGCAGUGAUAGGUAGGCGGCCUUAACGGGUGGUCGCCCACACUGGGAUUGAGAUACGGCCCAGACUCCUACGGGAGGCAGCAGUCGAGAAUAGUCUACAAUGGUCGAAAGACUGAUAGUGCGACGCCGCGUGAACGAAGAAGCCCUUCGGGGUGUAAAGUUCUUUUAUAUGUGAGCAGUGACAUCUAUAUUAAUAGUAUGGGUGUAGAGAUAUUAGCAUAUGAAUAAGCAACGGCUAACUCCGUGCC